UGAGUGUAGCUCAGUGGUAGGGUGAUUGCCUAGCAUGCCUCUGGCUUUGGGGUCCAUCCCCAGCACUGCAA
rnacentral:tRNA from 1 species